UGGGGAAUAUUGGACAAUGGGGGCAACCCUGAUCCAGCAAUGCCGUGUGUGUGAAGAAGGCCUGCGGGUUGUAAAGCACUUUCAGUGGGGAAGAGGGGUUUCAAGUUGAUAAGGCUUGGGAUUUGACGUUACCCACAGAAGAAGCACCGGCUAACUCCGUGCCAGCAGCCGCGGUAAUACGGAGGGUGCGAGCGUUAAUCGGAAUUACUGGGCGUAAAGCGCGCGUAGGCGGUCGAGUAAGUCAGAUGUGAAAGCCCUGGGCUUAACCUGGGAAUGGCAUUUGAGACUGCUCGGCUGGAGUCUGUCAGAGGGUGGCGGAAUUCCGGGUGUAGCGGUGAAAUGCGUAGAUAUCCGGAGGAACACCGGUGGCGAAGGCGGCCACCUGGGGCAAGACUGACGCUGAGGUGCGAAAGCGUGGGGAGCGAACAGGAUUAGAUACCCCCGUAGUCC
rnacentral:rRNA from 1 species